rnacentral:rRNA from 1 species
UCGAGAAUCUUCGGCAAUGGGCGCAAGCCUGACCGAGCGACGCCGCGUGGAGGAUGAAGGCCUUCGGGUUGUAAACUCCUGUCGAGGGGGAAGAAGGGUCGAAAGACCUUGACUGAUCCCUGGAGGAAGCACGGGCUAAGUUCGUGCCAGCAGCCGCGGUAAGACGAACCGUGCGAACGUUAUUCGGAAUCACUGGGCUUAAAGCGCGUGUAGGCGGGACGGCACGUCUGUCGCUGAAAUCCCCCGGCUUAACCGGGGAACUGGCGUAGAUACGACCGUCCUUGAGGGGCGUAGGGGGAUCUGGAACUUCCGGUGGAGCGGUGAAAUGCGUUGAGAUCGGAAGGAACGCCCGUGGCGAAAGCGAGGUCCUGGACGCCUACUGACGCUGAGACGCGAAAGCCAGGGGAGCGAACG